rnacentral:rRNA from 1 species
GGCAAAAGAGAGCUUGAUUGCAAGACAUACAGGUCGAGCAAGGAUGAAAAUCGGACUUAGUGAUCCGGUGGUUCUGCGUGGAAGGGCCAUCGCUCAACGGAUAAAAGCUACCCUGGGGAUAACAGGCUUAUCUCCCCCAAGUGUCCACAUCGACGGGGAGGUUUGGCACCUCGAUGUCGGCUCAUCACAUCCUGGGGCUGUAGUAGGUCCCAAUGGUUGGGCGGUUCGCUCAUUAAAGUGGUACGCGAGCUGGGUGCAGAACGUCGUGAGACAGUUCGGUCCCUAUCCGUCGCAGGCGUAGGAAAUUUGAGAAGACCUGUCCUUAGUACGAGAGGACCGGGAUGGACGUA